rnacentral:lncRNA from 1 species
AAAAAUACUAAAAUAAAAUUGAAAAGAUUAGGUUGAAACCCUAAAAGUCUAAAAUUUACAUUAUAUACCCUUGGCUCGCGAGCCUAUUCGAGCCGAGCCAUGACAAACUCGGGCUCGGCUCGUUUACAAAACGAGCCAAAUAUUUAAGCUCGAGCUCAUUUAUUUACUUAAUAAACCGAACUUAAACGAGCCCUUACCGAGCCGAGCCUCGAGCCGUUUACGAACAGCUCGGUUCAUUUGCAGCCCUA